rnacentral:lncRNA from 1 species
CUCCCCCACCCUCAGGUGCCCCUUUAGUUACUUUAAUGCAGCGCUGUGCUCCCUCAGCACUGGUGACCUCUCCUCCCACUCUGAUGUCGGGUCCCGAGUGGUGCGGAAUGCGCAUGUGCGGCAGGAGCCGCGUGCGCAGUCAAUCGGAAAGCUUUUUUUUUUUUAAUGCUUUCCUAUGGACAUUCUGCACGCUGAAUGCGAUUUUUGCAUCCAGCGUCGCAGAAGCGCCUCUAGCGGCUGUCAUGAAGACAGCCACUAGAGGCUGGAUUAAUCCUGCAAUGUAAACCUUGGUUUCUCUGAAACUGCUAUGUUUAAAUCUGAUGGGUUAAAACCUGGGAGACCUGGCACCCUCACCACUUCAUUGAGCUGAAGUGGUCUGGGUGACUAUAGUGUCCCUUUAAGAGCAUAAUUACAUGCAAAUGUCACAUAUCCUUUAAAAAAGGAUAAAUAUUGCUGACUUAUUAAUAUGGUGACUGGAAGAUGAAUGCUGUCCCACGUAUGCGCUCACUUUUCCGGUUACAUUCAAACACUUACAAAUUAUUUUACAGGCAUGGUGAUACAUACUUACAUUAUCACCCACACCCAGCACACCACCUUUUACAAUGAACGGGAGUCUAGCAGUGAUUAUAAAAACGUAUCUAUGAGAAUGUAUGCAAAGGUCUGGAACCACUCUACCACAGCUUCUGCACGCUGAGUUGGUAAAUGGCACACAGAUUGCAAAUUGCAGACUUGAAUGUGCUGCUUCAAGCAGCAGCUUUAUUAUGAAUUACAAAAUAGUAAAAAUUGUACUUUGGCACAUGUGGGCUCCAAACAAAACUAAAAUAGCCUUAUUUACAACUAUAAAAAAUAAUCUGCAUUUAAUUUUGCCUUUCUGGUAAGUAAAUGUAAAGUACAUAUUGAAAUGAAGAGGAGUUAUCAAGUUAAAUGUAGAUAUACUGGAUUCCUUUUGUGUAAAUUGGGUUUUAUUAAAUAUAAAGCCACAUUUGCAGAAUAAAACCUUGAAUAGCCAAAAAUCAAUGCCAGAUGUAGCUCACUAUAUUGGUGCAAGAAUGCAAUUUGAACAAGUUCGGUAUUUCUUAGUUGUAUUUGAAGUGAUUACCUAAAUUUGUUGACUUUAGGUGCUGCACUCCUGCUUUUGUUUUUAACUAUUUUAUUUAAAUACAUGAUCUUAAAUUACAUUUGUAUAACCUAAGACAUUAGUGUAGAAAUACUGCCCAACCAUCCCAAGCAGUAGAAGAUAUGCUUUAAAUUAGAGGCAUUCAGGGCAUGAGCAGCUCUUGGUGAGCCAUGCCCAUCUGCAGUGCAGUAAUGCCAUGCUGACACUUUCUUCCUGGAAUCUAAUUCUCUCCACAUUCAAGGUGGUGACAUGAGAUGAAAAGAGCAACCGCUUUUGCACCCUCUUCCACAUGGUCAUUGUUUGCCACUGGCAUAUAUUUGUCGGAGAUGCGUUUGGUGUUCCUUAAAUUACUUAUUAACUAGAGUAGUGGUGACUUACUUUGGCCCCUAUUGGGUGGCUAAACAUAAUUGACAAAUAAGUAGCCUAAUCAUAAUAAAGUUUCACAUUUAAAGACAUAAUUUUAAACCCGUGGCCUAGGAUGUCGUCUUUGUACAUUUUAGAUUUGAUCAAUGUGCCCAGUGUAAUCCCUAUUAAGCUAUAUUUUAUUUAUAUAUAUUUAAGCUUCAUGUUCCUUUUUCUUCAGAAUUAAUUUGCAACAAUUUUAUCCUUUUUCAUAUUAGGAAUUAGUGUGAGAUAAUGAGUACUUCUGCAAUAUUUAAAUUAUAUGGAGCUUUAUACAAAUAUGUAAAUAGUUUGUUGGACUUUCUUUAACAGUGGUGUGCAGUCUGUAAUUAUAAAAUGAUGACCUCCCUCUUCCUAGAAGGCAGACAUGCUCAGAUUGCUGGCAAGCAGCGACUGCUUCUGAAGAGCCUUAAAGCGGCUCUGUCACCUGCUCAGGCUUUUACCUAUUUUACUACGACCCCGGGUGGUGAUUGUUACACUUGUAUUCCGGUGGCCGUGGUGGGACAGGGGACUGUAGAUUUUUAUAUAUAUGGAACAAUACUUUGCUGCCGCUGCCGCCUCCAUCAUCAUAAAGGUCCUCUUCAGCUCCAGGUGCUUCAUCUGCAAUGAACUGAUAUCAGAGUUUUACUCUUGCGUAUGUGUGAGGGCAUAACACUAUAUAUGGAGAAUCUCGCUGUGUCGAUAGAAAGGACAGCUGAGGGCUUGACAAAAGAUAUCUUAUGUCAACUGAAGGAAAAUACAUAAGUGGUCCCAUCAGGGAAAUUCCAACAGUCUUUAAGAGCAUCAGAUGCACGCACCUGUUAUAUGCUGUGUUUAUAUAAUGUAUUAAUGGCUUUCCAUAUCCAUCUCCACUUAGGAUUGUAAUACACAACUGUUUUUGUUUUUUUUCAUCUGCUUCAAUAUUUUUUGGUAUAUAUGUAAAAGGCACCAAUAAAAUAAAAUUUUAAACACCAUAAGACUUUUUUUUUUCCAACUAUUAAUCUGUUUUCUUAAAAUAUCGUGCUCUAUCUGCUGUACAUUUGCAUUCAAUUUCUAAUCAGAUAAACUAAAACCUUGGUUGCAUUAAAUAAGUGUGCUCCUGUUGUGUACUUUAACCCAUUGAUUAUUUUAACUUGCCACCUUAAUUA